UGCUGUGAACUCGAAGAGUAGGGCGGGACACGUGGUAUCCUGUCUGAAUAUGGGGGGACCAUCCUCCAAGGCUAAAUACUCCUGACUGACCGAUAGUGAACCAGUACCGUGAGGGAAAGGCGAAAAGAACCCCGGCGAGGGGAGUGAAAAAGAACCUGAAACCGUGUACGUACAAGCAGUGGGAGCCUCUUUAUGGGGUGACUGCGUACCUUUUGUAUAAUGGGUCAGCGACUUAUAUUCUGUAGCAAGGUUAACCGUAUAGGGGAGCCGAAGGGAAACCGAGUCUUAACUGGGCGUUAAGUUGCAGGGUAUAGACCCGAAACCCGGUGAUCUAGCCAUGGGCAGGUUGAAGGUUGGGUAACACUAACUGGAGGACCGAACCGACUAAUGUUGAAAAAUUAGCGGAUGACCUGUGGCUGGGGGUGAAAGGCCAAUCAAACCGGGAGAUAGCUGGUUCUCCCCGAAAGCUAUUUAGGUAGCGCCUCGUGAACUCAUCUUCGGGGGUAGAGCACUGUUUCGGCUAGGGGGCCAUCCCGGCUUACCAACCCGAUGCAAACUACGAAUACCGAAGAAUGUUAUCACGGGAGACACACGGCGGGUGCUAACGUCCGUCGUGAAGAGGGAAACAACCCAGACCGCCAGCUAAGGUCCCAAAGUCAUGGUUAAGUGGGAAACGAUGUGGGAAGGCACAGACAGCCAGGAUGUUGGCUUAGAAGCAGCCAUCAUUUAAAGAAAGCGUAAUAGCUCACUGGUCGAGUCGGCCUGCGCGGAAGAUGUAACGGGGCUAAACCAUGCACCGAAGCUGCGGCAGCGACACUAUGUGUUGUUGGGUAGGGGAGCGUUCUGUAAGCCGUUGAAGGUGUGCUGUGAGGCAUGCUGGAGGUAUCAGAAGUGCGAAU
rnacentral:rRNA from 1 species